rnacentral:rRNA from 1 species
CCUACGGGUGGCAGCAGUGGGGAAUAUUGCACAAUGGGGGAAACCCUGAUGCAGCGACGCCGCGUGAGCGAUGAAGUAUUUCGGUAUGUAAAGCUCUAUCAGCAGGGAAGAAAAUGACGGUACCUGACUAAGAAGCCCCGGCUAACUACGUGCCAGCAGCCGCGGUAAUACGUAGGGGGCAAGCGUUAUCCGGAUUUACUGGGUGUAAAGGGAGCGUAGACGGCGAUGCAAGCCAGAUGUGAAAGCCCGGGGCUCAAACCCGGUACUGCAUUUGGAACUGUAUAGCGGGAGUGUUGGAGAGGCAGGCGGAAUUCGUGGUGUAGCGGUGAAAUGCGUAGAUAUUAGGAGGAACACCAGUGGCGAAGGCGGCCUGCUGGACGAUGACUGACGUUGAGGCUCGAAAGCGUGGGGAGCAAACAGGAUUAGAUACCCCGGUAGUC